AAGAUGAAAAGCUCUUUGAUGAACAGACAGACCGGAAUGAGCUCAGAUUGUUUUCAUUGCAGGUUUUCCCUGACCUCAUUAACUGUGUCUGUGCACCAAUACUGUGCAUCUGUAUGCUCGGCCUCAUGUUUUGGAAGUUUCCUCCUCUGCCUCCCCACCCACUCUUCAACACCCCUGUGGUACAUUCCCCCCUCCUCGAUGCAUUCCUCGUUGACCUCGGCAGGCUGAGGAGUCCCUCUGUCAGUGAGCUCUGUGAGAGUGGGACUGAGCCUUCACUCGUCGGUGGAAGCAGCUGUUAAGUUCAGGGAGUUCUACAUGGGUUUGACUUGGCUUUUAGAACAUUUUUCAGGCAGCGCCGCCUCACCAAACCACCCCGAGUUCAA
ensembl:lncRNA